UACGUAGGGCGCAAGCGUUAUCCGGAAUUUAUUGGGCGUAAAGAGCUCGUAGGCGGUUUGUCGCGUCUGCCGUGAAAGUCCGGGGCUCAACUCCGGAUCUGCGGUGGGUACGGGCAGACUAGAGUGAUGUAGGGGGAGACUGGAAUUCCUGGUGUAGCGGUGGAAUGCGCAGAUAUCAGGAGGAACACCGAUGGCGAAGGCAGGUCACUGGGCCACUACUGACGCUGGAGGAGCGAAAGCAUGGGGAGCGAACAGG
rnacentral:rRNA from 1 species